AUCACUUCUUGGCCUUUGGCUAAGAUCAAGUGUAGUAUCUGUUCUUAUCAGUUUAAUAUAUGAUAUGUUCUCUAUCUGAGGACAACAUAUUAAGGGAAUUUUUGGACCAGGGAGCUGGAAUAGGAGUUUUCUUCAUCCACUCCAUGCAUUGGCCUGGCCUUGCAAUGCCUCCAGGAACAGUGCGUACACA
ensembl:snRNA U2 U2 spliceosomal RNA